rnacentral:sRNA from 1 species
GCUGGGUGUAGUGGUGCACACCUGUAAUCCCAGCAGCUCUGGAGGCUGAGGCAGGAGGAUUGCAAGUUCAAAGGUACCCUCAGCAACUCAGUGAGACCCUGUCUCUA